GACGAACGCUGGCGGCGUGCUUAACACAUGCAAGUCGAACGGAAAGGCCCUGCUUUUGUGGGGUGCUCGAGUGGCGAACGGGUGAGUAACACGGGAGUAACCUGCCCUUGACUUUGGGAUAACUUCAGGAAACUGGGGCUAAUACCGGAUAGGAGCUCCUGCUGCAUGGUGGGGGUUGGAAAGUUUCGGCGGUUGGGGAUGGACUCGCGGCUUAUCAGCUUGUUGGUGGGGUAGUGGCUUACCAAGGCUUUGACGGGUAGCCGGCCUGAGAGGGUGACCGGCCACAUUGGGACUGAGAUACGGCCCAGACUCCUACGGGAGGCAGCAGUGGGGAAUAUUGCACAAUGGGCGGAAGCCUGAUGCAGCAACGCCGCGUGCGGGAUGACGGCCUUCGGGUUGUAAACCGCUUUCGCCUGUGACGAAGCGUGAGUGACGGUGAUGGGUAAAGAAGCACCGGCUAACUACGUG
rnacentral:rRNA from 1 species